rnacentral:rRNA from 1 species
CGGCUCAGAUUGAACGCUGGCGGGAUGUUUUAUACAUGCAAGUCGAACGGCAGCACGGACUUCGGUCUGCGGCGAGUGGCGAACGGGUGAGUAAUGUAUCGGAACGUGCCUAGUAGCGGGGAUAACUACGCAGCGUAGCUAAUACCGCAUACGCCCUUCGGGGAAAGCGGGGGACCUUCGGGCCUCGCACUAUUAGAGCGGCCGAUAUCGGAUUAGCUAGUUGCGGGGUAACGGCUCACCAAGGCGACGAUCCGUAGCUGGUUUGAGAGACGACCAGCCACACCGGGGAUUGAGACACGGCCCAGACUCCUACGGGAGGCAGCAGUGGGGAAUUUGACAAUGGGGGAAACCCUGAUUCAGCCAUCCCGCGUGUGCGAUGAAGGCCUUCGGGUUGUAAAGCACUUGGCAGGGAAGAAACGGCAUCGAUAAUACCCCGUGCAACUGACGGUACCUGCAGAAUAAGCACCGGCUAACUACGCCAGCAGCCGCGGUAAUGUAGGCAAGCGUUAAUCGGAAUUACUGGGCGUAAAGCGUGCAGGCAGGUCUGGAAAGAAAGAUGUGAAAUCCCAGAGCUUAACUUUGGAACUGCAUUUUUAACUACCGAGCUUAGAGGUCAGAGGAGGUGAAUUCCGCGUGUAGCAGUGAAAUGCGCAGAUAUGCGGAGGAACACCGAUGGCGAAGGCAGCUCUCUGGGAUAACACUGACGCUCAUGCACGAAAGCGGGGGAGCAAACAGGAUUAGAUACCCCGGUAGUCCACGCCCAAACGAUGUCAAACUAGCUGUUGGGGCCUUCUGGCCCCGGUGGGGCAGCCAAUUGCGUGAAGUUGACCGCCCAGAGUAAUGGGGUCGCAAGAUUAAAACCUGUAUGAAUUGACGGGGACCCGCACGUUGCGGAUGAUGUGGAUUAAUCGAUGCAACGCGAAAACCUUACCUACCCUUGAUACGUUGGGAAUCCCGAAGAGAUUUGGGAGUGUUCGCAAGAGAACCAAAUUGCAGGUGCCGCAAGGCUGUCGUCAGCUCGCGUCGUGAGAUGUUGGGUUAAGUCCUGCAACGAGCAAACCUCUUGUCAUUAGUUGCUACGGAAAGGGCACUCUAAUGAGACUGCCGGUGACAAACCGAGGAAGGUGGGGAUGACGUCAAGUCCUCAUGGCCCUUAUGGUAGGGCUUCACACGUCAUACAAUGGUCGGGACAGAGGGUCACCAACCCGCGAGGGGGAGCUAAUCCCAGAAACCCGAUCGUAGUCCGGAUCGCAGUCUGCAACUCGGACUGCGUGAAGUCGGAAUCGCUAGUAAUCGCGGAUCAGCAUGUCGCGGUGAAUACGUUCCCGGGUCUUGUACACACCGCCUGUCAAACCGGGAUGGCUUUACCAGAAGUAGCCAGCCUAACCGUAAGGAGCGAUUACCACGGUAGAUUCAUGACUGGGUGAAGGCCGUAACAAGGUAA